rnacentral:rRNA from 1 species
UACGUAGGGUGCGAGCGUUGUCCGGAAUUACUGGGCGUAAAGGGCUCGUAGGCGGCCAACUAAGUCGGACGUGAAAUCCCUCGGCUCAACCGGGGAACUGCGUCCGAUACUGGAUGGCUUGAGUUCGGGAGAGGGAUGCGGAAUUCCAGGUGUAGCGGUGAAAUGCGUAGAUAUCUGGAGGAACACCGGUGGCGAAGGCGGCAUCCUGGACCGACACUGACGCUGAGGAGCGAAAGCCAGGGGAGCAAACGGG